UGUCUGGACAGACCCCUGGAUAUAGUGAACUCUCGGUUAUAGUGUACCGAAAUUUUGGGCCCUUGAAGGUUCACUAUAAUGGGGUUUGAAUGUAAUUUACUUUAGUUAUGAUAUCUGAAAUAGAUUAAUCUGAUUUAUAAGUGGUUGACAAUUACUUUUCUGUAUUUUAGAUGUGGCUUGCGAGGAGGUUAUUGUGAAUUAGCUAAUGUUGAUAUGGGUGUAAAGAAAAUGUUACUAAAAUGUGUGUCUUCGCGUUACUGUUCUACUGUUUUGGGUCAGAUAACAAUGGAUUGUGUUGUCAAGCUACCUCAAAAGGGUGAUCCAUCUUAUGAUCUUUUUAUUAAGG